rnacentral:rRNA from 1 species
UACGGAGGGGGCAAGUGUUGUUCGGAAUUACUGGGCGUAAAGGGCGCGCAGGCGGCUUGGCAAGUCGAGUGUGAAAUACCUCAGCUUAACUGAGGAACGGCGCUCGAAACUACCUCGCUUGAGGGCGGGAGAGGGAAGUGGAACUCUCGGUGUAGGGGUGAAAUGCGCAGAUAUCAGGAAGAACACCCGUGGCUAAGGCGGCUCUCUAGUACGGUACUGACGCUGAGACGCGAAAGCGUGGGGAGCGAACAGG